CAAACUUGUUUUACCACUGAAAUUAUUACUCAUUUUCUAACCAGUCAUCAAUAAGCAUUUAAAGAAAAUCCUUCAGCCUUUGCAAUUAGGGGUAUGUGAUAAAAACCCACUGUUGUCUUGGCUAUUUUCCAGCUACCACCCUAGUAAUUUUGGCACCAAAAAAAAACUAUAAACUGUGAAUUUGUAGGCUUAUGUAGUAGCUCUUCAAGAUCUUCAAGUAGCUCUUCAAGAUAUACUCCAGAGAUACCACAAAUGUUUUCUUAAAGGUCUUAAGCUUUCUUUGAAAGAAAACAUAUUUAAAACAAUGCAGAUUAAAAUCUGUUUUGUCUGCUACUCCCCUGCCCUUCCCAAACAAGUCUAUGUUUUGUAUCUUCUAUCAAGGCUGGGGAAAUUUUUAAAUGCUAACGGAAGUAAACUGCCAUAUAGAAACUGCCUUUUACUUCAGGUUUCCUCUUAGGCUUCAGAGCACCAUUGUUGGAGAAACAGGAAAGCGCAAUGAGGUGUUAAGUUGGUGUGUUUCCAAGGCACCACAUUGGGUCACACUUCUAAUACUGUGUUAAAGAAGUAUUUUUAAGG
rnacentral:lncRNA from 1 species